UGCGCCCCCGGCGGCCCU
rnacentral:snRNA from 1 species